rnacentral:rRNA from 1 species
UUAAGCGACUAAGCGUACACGGUGGAUGCCCUGGCAGUCAGAGGCGAUGAAGGACGUGCUAAUCUGCGAAAAGCGUCGGUAAGGUGAUAUGAACCGUUAUAACCGGCGAUGUCCGAAUGGGGAAACCCAGUGUGAUUCGUCACACUAUCGUUAACUGAAUACAUAGGUUAACGAGGCGAACCGGGGGAACUGAAACAUCUAAGUACCCCGAGGAAAAGAAAUCAACCGAGAUUCCCCCAGUAGCGGCGAGCGAACGGGGAGCAGCCCAGAGUCUGAAUCAGCUUGUGUGUUAGUGGAACGGUCUGGAAAGUCCGACGGUACAGGGUGAUAGUCCCGUACACCAAAAUGCACAGGCUGUGAACUCGAAGAGUAGGGCGGGACACGUGGUAUCCUGUCUGAAUAUGGGGGGACCAUCCUCCAAGGCUAAAUACUCCUGACUGACCGAUAGUGAACCAGUACCGUGAGGGAAAGGCGAAAAGAACCCCGGCGAGGGGAGUGAAAAAGAACCUGAAACCGUGUACGUACAAGCAGUGGGAGCACCUUCGGGUGUGACUGCGUACCUUUUGUAUAAUGGGUCAGCGACUUAUAUUCUGUAGCAAGGUUAACCGUAUAGGGGAGCCGCAGGGAAACCGAGUCUUAACUGGGCGUUAAGUUGCAGGGUAUAGACCCGAAACCCGGUGAUCUAGCCAUGGGCAGGUUGAAGGUUGGGUAACACUAACUGGAGGACCGAACCGACUAAUGUUGAAAAAUUAGCGGAUGACUUGUGGCUGGGGGUGAAAGGCCAAUCAAACCGGGAGAUAGCUGGUUCUCCCCGAAAGCUAUUUAGGUAGCGCCUCGUGAAUUCAUCUUCGGGGGUAGAGCACUGUUUCGGCUAGGGGGUCAUCCCGACUUACCAACCCGAUGCAAACUACGAAUACCGAAGAAUGUUAUCACGGGAGACACACGGCGGGUGCUAACGUCCGUCGUGAAGAGGGAAACAACCCAGACCGCCAGCUAAGGUCCCAAAGUCAUGGUUAAGUGGGAAACGAUGUGGGAAGGCACAGACAGCCAGGAUGUUGGCUUAGAAGCAGCCAUCAUUUAAAGAAAGCGUAAUAGCUCACUGGUCGAGUCGGCCUGCGCGGAAGAUGUAACGGGGCUAAACCAUGCACCGAAGCUGCGGCAGCGACACUAUGUGUUGUUGGGUAGGGGAGCGUUCUGUAAGCCUGCGAAGGUGACCUGUGAGGGUUGCUGGAGGUAUCAGAAGUGCGAAUGCUGACAUAAGUAACGAUAAAGCGGGUGAAAAGCCCGCUCGCCGGAAGACCAAGGGUUCCUGUCCAACGUUAAUCGGGGCAGGGUGAGUCGACCCCUAAGGCGAGGCCGAAAGGCGUAGUCGAUGGGAAACAGGUUAAUAUUCCUGUACUUGGUGUUACUGCGAAGGGGGGACGGAGAAGGCUAUGUUAGCCGGGCGACGGUUGUCCCGGUUUAAGCAUGUAGGCUGGUUAUCCAGGCAAAUCCGGAUAAUCAAGGCUGAGGUGUGAUGACGAGGCACUACGGUGCUGAAGUAACAAAUGCCCUGCUUCCAGGAAAAGCCUCUAAGCAUCAGGUAACAUCAAAUCGUACCCCAAACCGACACAGGUGGUCAGGUAGAGAAUACCAAGGCGCUUGAGAGAACUCGGGUGAAGGAACUAGGCAAAAUGGUGCCGUAACUUCGGGAGAAGGCACGCUGGUGUGUAGGUGAAGCCCCUGCGGGUGGAGCUGAGACCAGUCGAAGAUACCAGCUGGCUGCAACUGUUUAUUAAAAACACAGCACUGUGCAAACACGAAAGUGGACGUAUACGGUGUGACGCCUGCCCGGUGCCGGAAGGUUAAUUGAUGGGGUUAUCCGUAAGGAGAAGCUCUUGAUCGAAGCCCCGGUAAACGGCGGCCCGUAACUAUAACGGUCCUAAGGUAGCGAAAUUCCUGUCGGGUAAGUUCCGACCUGCACGAAUGGCGUAAUGAUGGCCAGGCUGUCUCCACCCGAGACUCAGUGAAAUUGAACUCGCUGUGAAGAUGCAGUGUACCCGCGGCAAGACGGAAAGACCCCGUGAACCUUUACUAUAGCUUGACACUGAACAUUGAGCCUUGAUGUGUAGGAUAGGUGGGAGGCUUUGAAGCGUGGACGCCAGUCUGCGUGGAGCCAACCUUGAAAUACCACCCUUUAAUGUUUGAUGUUCUAACGUUGGCCCCUGACCGGGGUUGCGGACAGUGUCUGGUGGGUAGUUUGACUGGGGCGGUCUCCUCCCAAAGCGUAACGGAGGAGCACGAAGGUUAGCUAAUCCUGGUCGGACAUCAGGAGGUUAGUGCAAUGGCAUAAGCUAGCUUGACUGCGAGCGUGACGGCGCGAGCAGGUGCGAAAGCAGGUCAUAGUGAUCCGGUGGUUCUGAAUGGAAGGGCCAUCGCUCAACGGAUAAAAGGUACUCCGGGGAUAACAGGCUGAUACCGCCCAAGAGUUCAUAUCGACGGCGGUGUUUGGCACCUCGAUGUCGGCUCAUCACAUCCUGGGGCUGAAGUAGGUCCCAAGGGUAUGGCUGUUCGCCAUUUAAAGUGGUACGCGAGCUGGGUUUAGAACGUCGUGAGACAGUUCGGUCCCUAUCUGCCGUGGGCGCUGGAGAAUUGAGGGGGGCUGCUCCUAGUACGAGAGGACCGGAGUGGACGCAUCACUGGUGUUCGGGUUGUCAUGCCAAUGGCACUGCCCGGUAGCUAAAUGCGGAAGAGAUAAGUGCUGAAAGCAUCUAAGCACGAAACUUGCCCCGAGAUGAGUUCUCCCUGAGACUUUAAGUCUCCUGAAGGAACGUUGAAGACGAUGACGUUGAUAGGCCGGGUGUGUAAGCGCAGCGAUGCGUUGAGCUAACCGGUACUAAUGAACCGUGAGGCUUAACCUU